AGUGAUUACAGCAUUGAGUCUAAUUGGGUAUGAUGCUACAAGCUUGGCACACCUGUAUUUGUGAGAGUUUCUCUAUUCUUCUCUGCAGAUCUUCUCGUGCUCUGUCAGGUUGGAUGGGGAGCGUCGUUGCCCAGCUAUUUUCAGGUCUCUCCAGAGAUGUACGAUCAGGUUCAAGUCCGGCCUCUGGCUGGGUCAGUCAGGGACAUUCAGAGACUUGUCCCGAAGCCACUCCUGCAUUGUCUUGGCUGUGUGCUUAGGGUCAUUGUCCUGUUGGAAGGUGAACCUUCACCCCAGUCUGAGGUCCUGAGCACUCUGGAGCAGGUUUUUAUCAAGGAUCUCUCUGUACCUUUUUUUAUACAUAUAUAUAUAUUUCAUUAUGGGGUAUUGUGUUUGAUGAGAUUGAUGAGUGAAGAAAACAAUUUAAUCAAUUUUAGAAUACGGCCGUAUUGUAACAAAAUGUGGAAAAAGUGAAGGGGUCUGAAUACUUUCAGAAUGCACUGUAUGUUCUGCAUCUCCCUUGAACCACGAGGUGACAUUACUCUCCUGUUUUUACAAAUACACCGUCCAAUACAUUCCCUGUAAUAUACAUUAAAACAUUUUUGAAUGAAAACACAUUGCCCGGUGCACACGCAUUCCCCCUGUUAGCUAGCAGCUCCUCUCUAUAGCUAGCUAGCCUAGCUUUCAAGCUUGUUAGCUACAUUGAAUUUUCAUUUAAAAAAUAUAGAACCCUGUGACUGAUAAACCUUACAAAGAAUGUCACACCAUGUUUCUAAACACCUUAUAAUUCAUCAACACUCUCGGUUUGGACAAAUAAAGGAAUAGUUACCUGAAAUUAUGGGGGGAAAAAAGGAAGCUCAUGAGAACGUUUCAACUUUAUCAAGUUACUCCGUUUUAGUAAUGAAGACAGUUCAAUUGGAGCGCCCUCUUGUGUCCUGACUAUAAUUGCAUCUACAACUACUGCAUAACAAAUUGCUGAUUGCAUAGGAAUGGAUGUACAUAGUCCAGCAAGUAAAAAAAGCUAUUCCCUGAAUCCCUUUUACUUUUAGUUCUAAGUCAGGGAUUUUGAACCUGCGAAACACAUAUUUUAUAUGUGGUAUCAACAUGUUAAAUCAGAUUUCCCCCUUUAACUGAUCAUUGUCUGCAGCCAGCUCUGAUUGAAGUGUAAAAAGUGCCUUAUGAAACUGGCAGGGAGAGUGAGCUGGUCCGUGGUGGUUGAACCCUCAACCUUCUGGCCCCUUAGCCCUGCAUGACAUCGAUUUGCUUCAGUGACCAAAGUCGAUAUCCACGUUUUUAUAAACACAGGGUCGCAAACAGUUGUUGUUAUUUGUAGUCGUAAACAUUAUUGUUGAGUUGAUUUUCUGAGGGGGGGAGGGUGUGCCUUUUAUUUCACAGGCCCAGGAGAGGGUCAUGAUUUUCUGAGUGGGGAGGGUGUGCCUUUUGUUUCACAGGCCCAGGACAGGGUCAUGAUUUUCUGAGGGGGAGGGGUGUGCCUUUUGUUUCACAGGCCCAGGAGAGGGUCAUGAUUUUCUGAGUGGGGAGGGUGUGCCUUUUGUUUCCCAGGCCAAGGAGAGGGUCAUGAUUUUCUGAGUGGGGAGGGUGUGCCUUUUGUUUCACAGGCCCAGGAGAGGGUCAUGAUUUUCUGAGUGGGGAGGGUGUGCCUUUUGUUUCACAGGCCCAGGACAGGGUCAUGAUUUUCUGAGUGGGGAGGGUGUGCCUUUUGUUUCCCAGGCCAAGGAGAGGGUCAUGAUUUUCUGAGUGGGGAGGGUGUGCCUUUUGUUUC
ensembl:lncRNA